rnacentral:rRNA from 1 species
UAGCGUAGGUGGCAAGCGUUAUCCGGAAUUAUUGGGCGUAAAGCGCGCGCAGGCGGUUUCUUAAGUCUGAUGUGAAAGCCCACGGCUCAACCGUGGAGGGUCAUUGGAAACUGGGGAACUUGAGUGCAGAAGAGAAAAGCGGAAUUCCACGUGUAGCGGUGAAAUGCGUAGAGAUGUGGAGGAAUACCGGUGGCGAAGGCGGCAUCCUGGACCGACACUGACACUGAGGAGCGAAAGCCAGGGGAGGCAAACAGG